UAAGAUCUCGAUCCCUUGUUUCUUCCGCCAUGCUCCUGCGGGAGGUUCCCCGGCCGCCGCUAUCUCUCCAUUCCCCAACUCCGGCGCCACCGCCCCGCCGACCCCUUCCCCAAUGGCGGAGUUCUGUACCUUACGGUCAACAUCAUCGACCGGUGCCUCUCGAUGCAGCCAUAGGUACUAGACCUUCGGAGGGAGCUGCAGCUUCGUAGGUGUGUCGGCCCUGCUAAUCGCCUGCAAGCACGAGGAGAUCUGGGCUCCAUAGGAGGUCAACGAUUUCAUCUUUAUAUCAGAUAGUGCCUAUACUAGAGAGCAGAUACUAAGGAUGAAGAAGGCGAUUUUGAACAGGCUAUAGUGGAACCUGACCGUUCCUAUACCAUAUGUCUUCCUUUUGCGCUUUACAAAGGCAAUGUAUUCAUCUGGUUCGAAGAAGUAUAAGGAGUUAAUCAUCAAAUACGCCACAAUAAGUAAAUUCAGAUGUACUCGCACUGGAAGAUUGAAUACAUCAUAAAGUGAGUUUGUGUAAUGCAGAAGUUUCUGUUGUUGAUUAUGCAAAUGGAGAACAUGGUGUUCUUCUUCGCUGAGUUGGCUCUGGUACAGUACUCGCUGGUGCUGUCCAAGUGCUCCAUGGUUGUUCCUGUUGCUGUCUACAUGCUUGUAAAGUGAAGGAGAAGGUAAUCCUAGGUUCUAUUUGUCCUACCUAAACAUGAAGACAUGCUACAUGCAAUUCUCUGAAACUAAUGGACAAAGUAAAAUGUCCUGAACUUGAUACUCAGGUUUAGGUCCUGAACCAUAUGUCCAAAAGACUAGUACACUGCUUCACUAACAGCUGCAAUGGUUGGUUAUAGUUUUCUUAAUUUAGAUUGUUGAAUUAUUUGUAAAUGAUGUCUACAUGGUUCUCUGUAAGUUAAAAAAAAAAAUCUCGAAUAUGUCAACGAGAGAAUCCGUCUCGUGUUUCAGUCGUCAUGGAUCGCCUGCCAUAGAUGACUCUGAUCUGCCAGAGCUCCAAUGUGCUUGCCAUGAACCGGCAAUGCGACGCAUCUAUUACACAGAAAAUGACGUACGUUUGUGCUUUCUAAAAUGCAAUGUGCCAGAGGAUGUAGUUUGUCAAUCCGGGAGGACCUUCUCAAGAAGUAUGCUAAAGAGAUGGUAAACUAUUGCACAAUGGCUUCAAGCAAUAGUCUACAAGAUGCAUUGGCUUCAUCGGUCCACCUUUUGAAUGAGAAGGAACACCAAAUUUAGCAAUUAGAGAUGAAAUUUGACUCUAUAUGUAGAGAACUGUGAGCACAUAACUAAUAAAAUAUUUGUAUCAAAGUUUAAAUCUUGUAUGUGCCACCAUUGUUGGGGCGCUAGUAGAUGAUUUUUCUUAGGUCUCAAAUGGCACAUCGGGAGUUUUGCUUUGUUACUACCAGAGAAAGAA